AACGAACGCUGGCGGCAGGCCUAACACAUGCAAGUCGAGCGAGCAUUUCGGUGCUAGCGGCGGACGGGUGAGUAACGCGUGGGAACGUGCCCUUUUCUGCGGAAUAGUCCUGGGAAACUGGGGGUAAUACCGCAUACGCCCUUUUGGGGAAAGAUUUAUCGGAGAAGGAUCGGCCCGCGUUGGAUAAGGUAGUUGGUGGGGUAAUGGCCCACCAAGCCGACGAUCCAUAGCUGGUUUGAGAGGAUGAUCGGCCACACUGGGACUGAGACACGGCCCAGACUCCUACGGGAGGCAGCAGUGGGGAAUCUUAGACAAUGGGGGCAACCCUGCUCUAGCCAUGCCGCGUGAGUGAUGAAGGCCUUAGGGUUGUAAAGCUCUUUCAGCUGGGAAGAUAAUGACGGUACCAGCAGAAGAAGCCCCGGCUAACUCCGUG
rnacentral:rRNA from 1 species